CAGUUUUUUGUAAUCGCUUCUUCGGUAAUUGGAACGAUACAGAGGAGAUUGGCGUGACCCCUUCGCAAAGAUAAUAUGCAAAAUCGAGUUACAAUGUAAAAUUUA